AGGAUAACUCUCCAAAAAGUGAACAAAACAGGAUCUUAAGUUGAUGUGUCAGGAGAAACCAGUAACAAUAAAAAAAGUGAUUAGUUCCAGCUGGAUGCUGUGAUAGGGAAAAAACAAUCAGAAGAACAUUCCCCAGCACAUGUCUAUGGGAGAAUCAGUUGGGCAACAGUUUGAAAUGUGUCAGGCUGCUCCAUUUUUAAUCCUACUUUCACUUGGUCUCAUGACAUAGAUCUAUUAAGAAUUUCAAAAGAAUUCCAGAAGACACACCACGCUUGUCUUGCUUUACUGCUUUUUUUUUUUUUUGUUUAACAACUGGGAGCUUUGACACUUUUUAAUUGUAUAUAUUGCUUUCAAUACUUUUGUAGGAAAGAGAACUGCAUAUAUUUGAAAUCAUUGUUUUUCUAUUUCUUAGGGACAUUGCAGUGAUUUAUUGAUUUUUCAAACACAACCAUAUUCACUUCUCAGAUUGAGUCUUGAUUGUAUUGGUAAAAAUGCUGUCCUCUUGGAGAAACAAAUACCGUGGUUGCCAUCUAGACUUCUGGAAGAAGUUAUGGAUAAAAUAACUUUUUGGGUUGCUGUUAAUCAUCGUCAGAAAAAAAAAGCCAAAGCAGAAGAGCACGAGUAGAUUAAUGUCCUUUAAGCAACAAUUCCAUUAUCAUUUUAAAACAAACAACACUAUUACUGGUAAAUUGUUUGAACUAAAUUCUAAAUUUCUGGAUGCGCAAGAAACAGUUUCAAAGGUUAUCAGUGUCAUAACAGCUCCAGUUCAAGGCGCUGAAGAUUAAAAUAUUCUUGGACUUAAGAGCAAUUUGAUCUGAUUAUUGUUAUUGAAGAUAAUGGGGUUCCAAGCAGUGAAAAUGGUGUUUGGCCAUAUUGGGUAGUUUAUCUUCUGCUGGUAUUUGAAAAGGAAUGUU